rnacentral:sRNA from 1 species
UGUGGGGUGGUGAGGAUCUCCCCAUCAAUGCUGCCCCCACCCAGCAGCAUACAGGCCUGUGUGGCCUGCUGGCCCCGUGGCUCCGUGUACAGCGCUGUGCACGUCACGUUUGCUCUGGAAACAUCUCUGGGGUUUGUUUGUUCAUGAAGUUCAUGAAGUGCCGCUGGAGAGCCAGAGACGAACUGUGUAGGAGCCAGAGGAAUGGGCAGGCUGCUGACCCGAGGUCUGGAGAAACCCCUGGAGAAGGGUGUCCCCACCAGCCCAUACAGCGUGUGUGUGGAGGGGGCCUUGACCUGUUUUUUAUCGGCACCUCAGUCUCAACAUUUUCUUUUCGGAUUCAUGAGGAAAGAGAAAUCCUGGGGUUGGACCCCAAGACGACGUACAACAGGUUCUGCGGAGACCAAGAGAAGGCGUGUGAGCAGCCCACCCACUGGAAGAUCACCUACUGAGGAGGCUUCUCCGGGGCCGCUCCCCAGACCCGACUGGAGCAGGUGGAUACAGGUUCUGUCACCAUGGAGUCACCGUCUACUGCCAGCCAGGAGCUGGGCGGACAGGUC